rnacentral:lncRNA from 1 species
UCCAAACAAGGCAAGACAAGUUAGACGCCCCCUCUUUCUUUUUGUGCAUGGACCACCAGAAAAGGGUGCAUAUUAUAUGCCAUAAAAGUCAUAAAAAUUUUAAAAGAAAUUUGGAUAAAAUCAGUAUCAUAAGGAAAGAGUUUUGGUUUCCUAAAACUCUAUCUCAUAGAAUUUGAAAUCCAAACUAAUUCCUACUUUGACUUGAUCCACAAUCACUUUCCAUGUAAGAGAGAAAGAGAGAAAAGUUUUGGGCAUGUGUGAAGACCUGGGAGAGAAGUUUUGUUGCACAAAAAAAGAGAGAGUGGGCGUGGGAUAAGAG